CUGCCUGAAAUGGUGAACCUAUGUUUAUCCUCCUAAAUCAUAAAAGAAACAGCCGUUAAGGCAGAAGGAAAUGGCAAGGCAGCCCUGUAAAAAAUAAAUAAAAAAUAGACGUGUAAACAAAAGCCUGAUCAUCUGUAUCUAGACUUACGGCUGUAUGUUGAUGGCUGUGUUGUUAACUGGAAAGGAGACACCAUCUGUGGGGUUUUAAAGAUCACUAGCACUGCCUGUUAUCUAGAGAAUCAUUUAUCAUGACUGAAUCACUCAGACGCCAGCAUGUGAGAUACUUACAGCUGAUGCUGGUGUUUAAAUGCUCUUUGACAGACGCUACAGAAAUGAGGCCCAUCCUGUCUGUGGAUCAAGAGGUCUGUUGGUGGUGCCAUGAUGAUGGUGGCAUCUCUGGACACAUUCUUGGACGAUGAGAGCAGAGAUGGACUCAAAUCUGAAGGGUCUUUCAUUUCCAUUAACAGUUUCGUUGAGACGCUGUUAAUCGGGGGAGA